rnacentral:rRNA from 1 species
UACGUAGGGGGCUAGCGUUGUCCGGAAUCAUUGGGCGUAAAGCGCGCGUAGGCGGCCAGAUAAGUCCGGUGUGAAAGCCACAGGCUCAACCUGUGAAUGCCGCUGGAAACUGUCUGGCUAGAGUCCGGGAGGGGCGAGUGGAAUUCCUGGUGUAGCGGUGAAAUGCGCAGAUAUCAGGAGGAACACCAAUGGCGAAGGCAGCUCGCUGGAACGGAAACUGACGCUGAGGCGCGAAAAGCGUGGGGAGCGAACAGG